AACGAACGCUGGCGGCAUGCCUAACACAUGCAAGUCGAACGAGACCUUCGGGUCUAGUGGCGCACCGGUGCGUAACACGUGGGAACCUACCCUUAGGUUCGGAAUCACUCCCCGAAGGGGGUGCUAAUACCGGUUAAUGUCUUCGGACCAAAGAUUUAUCGCCUUUGGAUGGGCCCGCGUUGGAUUAGCUAGUUGGUAGGGUAAAAGCCUACCAAGGCGACGAUCCAUAGCUGGUGUGAGAGGAUGAUAAGCCACACUGGGACUGAGACACGGCCCAGACUCGUACGGGAGGGAGCAGUGGGGAAUAUUGGACAAGGGGCGAAAGCCUGAUCCAGCAAUGCCGCGUGAGUGAUGAAGGGCUUAGGGUUGUAAAGCUCUUUUAGCCGGGAUGAUAAUGACAGUACCGGGAGAAUAAGCUCCGGCUAACUCCGUG
rnacentral:rRNA from 1 species